UUUGAUAUAGGUCACACUUUUGCCCUAGGCAACAAGUACGCGACUAUAUCACCUUCCUUACCUUGUUUCUUUUGUUUGGCCCUUUUUGCACCUGUUUGUUUGCACUUGCACUAUAGAACCCCCUUUAGGCACUCCCCUCCUCUAUGCUACUUUUCCCUCUCAUCUCUCUCCUCAACUGAAGACCGGCAAGACAAGAUACACCAAGGAUUCUACUUUGGCAACCAGAUAGCACUGAAGACUUCUGCUACAGCCUCCUCGACCAAGUGCAACCCCGUAGAAUUAUGUUUACCCCUCCAGACUGUGAACCCAUCCCUUGACCCUUCGAGAUUUCACAAGACACACCAGCUCGAAUCCUUAACCAUGUGCUUAACCCACGGAAUUGCAAGAGAACCUGUUAAGCCCCGUAACUUUGCACUACACUGGGUUCAUUAUGGAACUAGUGGACAUAGUGGACGAGCACAUUGUCAUUCUAAGACGGCACAAGAACUGACGAUGCCAUAAGGAAGACCAAUUUGAGGAUAUAGGAAUAGAGGACAAAUGACUUCAUGAGUUUGUAUCAGUGACCCUGAGGAAUUAUCUGAGACUUUGGUAAAUCAUGAGUGAUGAUUGGAUUUGGCCUAUACGAGAUGAUGCUUUUGUUGGUAUAAGGUUAUUUGUUUGAAGGACUAGAUAGACUAUUGGCAUCUCAGAAACCGUGCUUAAGGAUAAGACAAUAAAAUGUUCACUCGCAUCCUUGAAACCCUUAAGCCCUACUAAGCCACAACAUGGUCGGGUCAUUACCAUAGGUCUUGACUCUAAAUCGAGAACACCUCGGACCAUACUCAACCGUGACCACCACCAAUUCCCCAGCCUACCUUAUGUACCCCAUGAACAGAAACUUCAUGGAGUACUUGGAAAAGUUGGUUGUCAUCUUUAUUUGGUGACCUACUUGCCUACCCGAAGACGGAAGAAGAACCGUUCAGCUGGUUAGGGAACAUCUGAAGACCACCAUGUCAAGGAGGAAGAACUAUACUAACCACCAUCGUCAAGAAGUGAACUUACUCGUCGAAGACCGUGCGUGUCUGCAAACCACUCCUCUCAGAAGGACCAAGCAUUUCCAUGUCAAAGGGAAGCUCACUCCAAGAUUUAACAACCCCCGCUGAGAUUGCUACGAGAUGAAAGAGAAGACAGUUGCCAACUGGAGUUACCACCUGAGUUACCCACUAUGCACAACGUUUUCCCACACAUCACAACCCUAGAAGUGUUUCCAACUUCCUGAUAAGCCCGAUCUCUACAAGGACAUCAAUCACCGAGCCAUCGACCUCCAGCCCAAUAUGACCUACGCGAGAGACCCCAAUUGCAAUCUGGAUCAAGCAGGACGACAAACAUGAAGCCACGCCAUCAAGUACUUCAAGGUUCAAUGGAGCACCAAACGGAAGCAGAAGUAGUAUGAGGACGUGAAGACUACCCCAAAUCCAAGUUUCUGUAUUCCUUUCCGCGCCUAGUCUGGGAAUCUCGGGGACGAGAUUCUUGUAACGGGGGUAGGUCUGUCACACCCUGAUUUUCAGGCCACUACACUUAAGCUAACAAUCAUGAUAAAAUGUGGUUUGACAAAAACUUUUGAGUGUUUUAGACCUUGCAUUGAUUGGAUUUUGUUUGUUGUGUGCAAGUGCUCUAAAAAUCAAAAAAAAUCCUCCAACUCUUAUACUCCUUCUCCUUGAUCCAAACCUUGCCCAAUGAUCAUGCCAUGUGUGUAGGACAUAAAAACAAUUUCUUGCAAAAAUAUUUUGGCCAAAAAGAAUUUUAUAAAUUAGGCUGUCCAAAAAGCCCUGAAUUGAGACUUGAACUAUAAGUACUUAAUUAAGGGUGUGAAAAAUCUUUCAAAAAGUAUAUUUGAAACCUAUUAGGUAUAGGGCUCCCAUAAACCACAAAAAUACAAUUUUAAAAGUUAUUUUACUAUUUUAUUUAAAGGCUUUUUCUUAAGGCUAGAAAUGGUCUUUAAUAGGUUAAAAUUAUUUUAAUGUUUCAAAAAUAUUUGAGAAAAUUUAGGGAAACUCAGUGGACAUAUAUUUUCCAUAUAUAUGAGUUUAAACACAUGGUCAUGUUCAAAAUAUUGGACAAAACCUCCCAAAACCAUUUCUGCCCAUUUCAAGGAUUUGAAAUAUUUCUACAGGAAAUAUUCCCCAACAAUUCCAAGAAAAUGCUAGCAUGUCACAUAUGACAUGUUUGAUGAUCUUGACAAGUCUCAUGUCAUGCAGAACAGUAUAACCCCAUGAAACCCUCUCAAAACCACUUCUGUCCUUUUUCAAGUUUGAACAACUUUGCACUAUCAAACAUGUCCAAAUGCUCUCAAACUUGGUGCACAUGCUCAAAUGGUGUAAUAAUGCAUCUAGACCAAAUGGCACAAGUUGGAGAGAAUGUUAUCUUGACCAAAGUGCCCCAAAACCCUCUCUGACCAGAAUCAAAUCUGAACAAGUUUGUACUACCAACUUUCUCUCCUUGACCCCAACUUUUGUGAGCAUGUUCACAUGACCAAAUGAGGCCACUACAACAAGUGGUGCAUCAAGGAGAAGUGAUUGCUCAACUAGAUCUACACAAGUCCAUUUUUGCUAAUUUCUAGGGUUUACAAAAGUUGCAUUGGCAACUUUGCCCAAAUGAGCUCCAAAUUGGUUGAAGGACCUAAAUUUAUGUGACAUUUCACCCUGUGGAGUAUCAUGCCAAAUGGAGAUCAUUUGCUUAACCAAACAAGCAUCAAACACCUUCUGCCACUUUACCAAAAUUCCAUUUUUGACCUCUUCCACUAAUCUCCAUGGGCUAAACUUUGUACCACAGCUGCUACUGACCCUCUUCUACCUCCAGUAAGUCCUGCCAGCCCCCAGCACAAUUAUUGGGGGGGGGGUGAAAACCCUCAUUUCCUUCUCUGGACAGCAACACUUCUAUCCUUUCUCACCUCUCCUUCUCACUCCAGCGCCAUCCAAGGGAUCCAAUGACAUUUCCACUUUGUUUACUCCCUCCCAGAGCUCCCAGACACAAGUGGCCAUGCGAGGACGCGGCAAAAAGCCACACAUGCCGGCCAAAGACGCGCUGUGGAGCAUGCUACCGUGCUCCCGACCGUUGACACCGCGCUCCCGUCCACCUCGGGCCGCCCGAGCGCGCCAGUCGACGCGCCUCGGCAUCCGCAUCACGCCAGCAGGUCUCCCACUUGCUCCCACGCCCUCCUCUCGCCCCGGCGGCGUGUGCCCGAGCGCCACCCGCACCCACCAAUCGUCGCCCGCGUCCUUGGCCCGCCUCGCGCUCGCUCCUCUCUCCCUCUCUCUCUCCCUGGUCAUAGACCACGCCCAGGAAGACCUCAGACUCGAAGCCAAGCCCUCCCAUGGCCUCUAGCGACGGCUACGGCCUCGCCGGCGCAUGGUCCCGCUGUGCACCUUCCCCCCAUUCUAUUUAAAGCCACUCCGAGUCCCCUCUCCACUCCUUUGGCUCCCUUUCUCUCCUGUACGCUCCCCAAGCCUACCCAUUCGUCCCCCCGAGCCCUUCUUGCUCCUCCAUGGCCGAAGCCGAGCCACCAGCCUUCCCUCAAAUUCCCGCGAAUGAGGCCUCCUCCUCCCCUUCUUUCUCCACUAGGCGAACCCCCUGACCACAACGGAACCCCUCACCACUUCUUCCUCUGCUCCGCUGCCUCGUAGCACCAAUGUCGCCAUCACCGUCGGCCUCGCCCGCCUUGGCCGACGCCCUACUCAACCCGGUGGCCCUGGGAGACCGUGCCACCCACAGUUAGGUGCGGCCGGGUCCCCUGAGCACGCCGAUGGGCGGAGCAUCCCCGGAGAUGCCCUGCAGAGCUGGCAAGCCACCGUCGACACCGCCCCGCCCCUGCUUUGUUCGAGCAGGAGGUUGGGGAUGAACCCGACAGAUGGGCCCCGUGUGUCAUCGACCCUGAGGGCCGGGCCCGCAGGCUAAGUGGACACGGCUUCUGCAGGAGCCGUCUCCCCGAGGCGAAGGCAUAUUCUGGGCGGACGCCUUCGACGUCACCGUUGCCGCCCCGUGCGGCCGUGCGGCUGGGCCAGGCCCAGUGCGCUGCCUCCCUAUGUCUCGCCCUGCGCACGCGGUUGCCGCCCAGAUCCAGCCUGUUUGGGUAAAAACAUUUUCCUUUUUCCUUUCUAUACAAUUUGCAAAAUCCAUAAACAAUUCAAAUUAACUCCAAAUUUGAUGAUUCAAACUUCUAGUAGUUUCUAAAUUCUUUCCCUAUCACAUGGUGCUACUUGCACAUUUUUACAGAAAUAUUUCUUUCACAAAUAAUUAGCAAAUCUUAUUUUUUCCAUUUCUGUGAUAAACUUUAGAAAAUCACAGAGGGCUCAAAUUUGAUCCAAAUGCCAUUAUUCAAAUUUCUAGAUGCUCCUGAGUUUAAAGCUUAGGUCAUGAACAUUUUUAUUAAUACUUUCUGUGCCACACAAUAUAAUGAGCCAUUUCUUCAUAUUUGUCAACUUUGCAAAUUCAUAGGAAAUUCAUUUGAACUCCAAAUCCAGUGAGACCAACUCCUAGAUGCUUCUAAAAUCAUGGUUUUUUAAAUGGGUGCCUUUGCUCAUUUUUCAAAAGUAUGUUUCUGUACACUUCUUACAAAUCCAUAAACCCCUUGAAUCCAUCAUAUCAAAAUGUUUAUAAAUAUCCACUAACCAAAUUCCAUUGAAACCACUCUGGUUAAAUUUCAUAUAACCAGAGAUGUCCUCGAAAAUUCAAAUCAAUAUUUUUAGAGCACUUUUAUUUUUCUUCCUUGUUGUGUUGUUAUUAUGGUUGCUUUCGACGAUAGUUGACGAAGUAGACGAAAUGCUCGGAGUUGGACCAGAGAUAUUUGAAGACCUCGAAGACUUUGUUAAAACAGGCAAGCAGCCCUUUGACCAUGUCUAUGAAACCCUUUUUAUGCAUUUCAUAUAGCACUUUAUUAUUGUUGCAUCGGAAUCAUGAUGAGAUGGUAGUCACUUUGGUGGGUUGCCUCCAUUUCCUCCUUGUUGAUACUUGCAUUGUGCAUGACCCUACCUUCUUAUGAGGGUUAUGCCGAUGGGAGUAGAUAGGAUGCUAAAGUAGUUGCUACGCAAAAAGGGACGGGAAUGUGCAUGGUGAUGGAGACAAAGUAUUUUCAAAAGACUUUUCGAAAACCCCGUCGGGUGCCACUUAUGCCGAGGGAGAUAAUGAGAUGGGUAACCACUUGAUGACGAAGUGGUAUACCGAGGCAAGUGUGUGUGUUGUUUUCAAAAACGGAUUAGAUUUAAGAUUUGUCGACUGUCCCAACCUUACAUGCGCAACCACUCUACCCUUGUAUGGGAAAGGGCAUUAUUGAUUACGUAGGCCGAUACUAGCUUGGAGCCCGCAUUACUAGUGACGGGAGAGUUGUUGGUGCGCUCUCUCGGGACGGGGUCGUGCCAGGUAGGGCGGCCAGGAACAUUUUUAUGGGGCACCGGACACACCGUUGGUACCCCGUGCCGGUGGUAUGUGAUGAAUAUGGGAGCGAGGCUCCACCAUUUUUAAAGUUGUGAAAUGUUGGGCACGGGGGUUACUACCAAUCGAGUGGACUCCAUGUUAGUGUCGCCUAGGGAAAGAUAGUGAUCGGGUGCUUACCCCGGGUACUUGAGGUACCGCGGGUUGUGGAUGACACGGAAGUUCCCCGGAUCUUGUGGGUAAAGUGUGCAACCUCUGCAGAGUGUAAAACUAUUCGAAUAGCCGUGUCCACGGUCAAGGACAGUUGGGCGGUGCUGCUUAAACUACGUCCACAUGUUUACAAACCAGUAUGUGUGUUUGGAUAAGUGGGAAGAACUACUUGGGUCAAGUCAAAGGACUUGACAUGAUUGAGUUGGGUUGAUGCCCACUCUAUUUAUGUUGAUAUUUGUAACUGGUCCUCAUGGUUAAUUGAAUUCUCCUGAUGCAUGUCUUACAAGUUGUUGAACAUGUCAUUGCACUCAAAACUAGCUUUCCGCAAAAAUUUACCUAUACCAUGCAUUGUUGUAUCUUGAACCAAAACAUGGGUUGCUUGCGAGUACAUUCAAAGUACUCAUUGGCUUGCCACUGGUUAUUUUAUUGGCCAGGCAUAAAAGACAAGAUAUAUUGAAGAGUUCUUUGGUGACGAUCGUGCGAGCUAGGACGCUUCCCAGUAAGAAUGCCUGUAGGGUUAAGGCAGAUGGCAUGGGUCCAAGUUGUUAUUGAAGUUUUCCGCUGCGAAGUUAUACUCAAGACUUGACCAUAAUGGUCAUAAUUUAUGUAAGACGGUAUGUAUGGAUGUAAGACUCUUGUUAUUCAGCUUUUGUGUGUUCAGUGAGCAUUGAUCUCUGGGAUCACUGUACACGUGCAUUAGGUGAUCACGACUCAUGAGUCGGGGUCCCCAUAGAGCUGGUAUCAGAGCCAUCCUGACUGUAGGAAGCCAUAGUUAGCAUGGUCGUUAGUUAGGGUAAAACUAUUUUCAAAACUAUCGCUAGUUUUCAAAAACUGUCUAUACUUCUCUUCCCCUUCUUAGUUUUUCUUCAAGGUAUAGUUUCCUUAUUGAUCUCUUCCCCUUCAAAACUUUUGGUCGCUAGAACCCUUAUGCCCCUGACCACUGGAUUCCUUCAAACCAUCAUGGAUAGUCUAGAAGGCGGAUGCCUUGUCAGACAUUCGCCCACGUCUUCUGAACACAAGUUUGGUGACACCACGACAGGAUGAUACCAAUAGAAGAUACCAUCUCGAGGAAUGAGGACAUCGGGACCCAGAAGCUGGUGACACCCUCGACGCUGCCCCAGGAUGAUGCAACCUUGGCCUACGAUGACCAGGGUAUAGGAAAUGCAAGAUCAUGAUAUACCUCGCUAAUAGAGUAACCAUGUCGUUACCGUUGUUGCAUCGGCAACCACCGGUGGAUGAUAACCUAGCCAUUUGGUCCGUCUCACUAUAGUGAGCAAGAAACGGUUAUCCUCAUCCCCCGCUCUUGGUGUCGAUGUUGUCAUCAACGUAACCGAAAUGUUGGACCUCUACUAUGCCUUGUUAAUGUCAUUGCAUAAAGGAUUACCUACUUGGUACCAUUGACGCCUUAGAAGACAAAAAGGGAUCAUCAUGAUUAAGAAGACAACAGAAGACCGAGUCAAUGCCUGCUACGAGGAGCCACCUUCACCCCAUCACUUCAACAGGCGAGAAGUUGUUGAAGAAUCUUUAGGCCUAACCCAGAUCGUUUCAUCAAACAACUACAAGAGACAUAGCAACACCUGAGGAAAACCCAGGAGACUGCAUGAGGCACAGAGCAAGCACGACUACUUAGUCCGAGAACCCCUAGGGUAGGAUGAGUCAUGUACCCCCUAUGCGCAGUCGAGUCCGUAUGAUGGUUCGAAUAGAGCCAUGAUUGUGUGUUGCUUGUUUUUAUUUGGUUGUGUUUUGAUAUAGGUCACACUUUUGCCCUAGGCAACAAGUACGCGACUAUAUCACCUUCCUUACCUUGUUUCUUUUGUUUGGCCCUUUUUGCACCUGUUUGUUUGCACUUGCACUAUAGAACCCCCUUUAGGCACUCCCCUCCUCUAUGCUACUUUUCCCUCUCAUCUCUCUCCUCAACUGAAGACCGGCAAGACAAGAUACACCAAGGAUUCUAC
rnacentral:lncRNA from 1 species